rnacentral:tRNA from 1 species
GGGCGGCUAGCUCAGUGGUUAGAGCGCUUCACUGAUAAUGAAGAGGUCCCAGGUUCAAAUCCUGGGUCGCCCA